AGCUGAGCAAUUGACUUAGCAUGCAGGCCCAGCUGUAGACGGCAUAGUAAAAGGCAAGAUUCUUUAGCAAAUAGACAAUAUCUCAGCCCACCUUAGAGGCUGGGCACACAAUCUUUUGAUGUGCACCCUAACCAAGGCGCCAGUGUCCCAGAGAGAAAUCAAGGCAGGAAAUUAUCUUUAAUAUUCAUGGACCCCUUGCCAUCCUACUCCUUUUACUAACCCUUGGGCCGUGUGUCAUCAACAGGCUGGUCCAGAUUCUCAGAGACCACGUGAGAGCCAUCCAAGUGAUAGUCCUCUGUACUCAAUACAAGCCCCUAGUAAUCUUGUUACCUUUAGACAUCUAAUGGUGCUAAGAGAACAGUAUCAGCCUUUAUCUCCUUACAACUGCAAAACCUUAUUAGACCCAUAAUUGGGUCCCUUCUUAGGAUCCAGAGAAGGGGGGAAUGAAAGGGCAAGCUCCCAGAUUCUAUUUCAGCCAAUUGGGACCCGGAUUCUACCUCAGCCAAUCAGGACCUUGAUCCUAUUUCACCCAAUCGGAGCUUGGUCUCUCUCCUCUCCAGUCAGCAAAGAGUUCACCCACCACCCUUAGACCCUGCCAAUUGACCAGAGCCAUGACCUGUCACUCCACCAACUACCCCUAGAUCCAGCCAAUCAGCCAGAGCCAUGACCAUCACCCCACCAACUGCCCUAGAACCCCAUAAAACCUUUGUGGUAUUGAAACUCGCUCUCUUUCUCUGGCAUCUUGCCACUGCGUUGGUGUAGAUGAGAGAUUGAGCUUGAGCUAGCUUGAAUAAAGGCUCUUUGCUUUUG